rnacentral:rRNA from 1 species
GGAUGGCCCCAGUAACGGCGAGUGAAGCGGCCCCAGCCCAAAUUUGAAAUCCGGCGCCCGCGGCGCCCGAGUUGUAAUUUGUAGAGGAUGCUUCGGCGGCGGCCCCGGGGCAAGUUCCCUGGAACCGGAUGCCGCAGAGGGUGAGAGCCCCGUACCCGCCCGGGCCCCCGCCGCCAGACGAAGCGCCUUCGACGAGUCGCGUUGUUUGGGAAUGCAGCGCCAAGCGGGAGGUAAAUUCCUUCCAAGGCUAAAUACCGGCCAGAGACCGAUAGCGCACAAGUAGAGUGAUCGAAAGAUGAAAAGCACUUUGGAAAGAGAGUCAAACAGCACGUGAAAUUGUUGAAAGGGAAGCUCUUGCUGCCAGACGUGCCGCGGGCGUCCAGCGGUCCCCCGGGGCCGCGUACGCGCCCGCGGCGGGCCAGCGUCGGUCGGGGCGGUCGGAUAAAGGCCCGGGGAACGUAGCCCGCCUCGGCGGGUGUUACAGCCCCGCGGCGACAUGCGGCCCGCCCCGACCGAGGCCCGCGUUCGCUCGGACGCUGGCGUAAUGGUCGCAAGCGACCCGUCUUGAAACACGGACCAAGGAGUCUAACAUCUGUGCGAGUGUUCGGGCGUCAAACCCGGGCGCGGAAUGAAAGUGAACGGAGGCGGGACGCCGCGAGGCCGCACCGUCGACCGAUCCUGAUGUCCUCGGAUGGAUUUGAGUAGGAGCAUGGCUGUUGGGACCCGAAAGAUGGUGAACUAUGCGUGUCUAGGGUGAAGCCAGAGGAAACUCUGGUGGAGGCUCGCAGCGGUUCUGACGUGCAAAUCGAUCGUCAAAGAUGCGUAUAGGGGCGAAAGACCAAUCGAACCAU